CUUUCUCCAUAAUGUCUCUUCUCAAAAGCCCAAUGGGUCUCAUGGUGGGGUUUAUGCUGGCUGUUGCAUUCUUAAUGCCCAAAUUAGUUGAAAACAUGGAUCCGGAGGAAAUGAGGCGAGCUCAAGAGGAAAUGAGAAGCCAAGGGGUUCCUUCUUUAUCAAGUUUGCUACCAGGUGGUGCAAUGAAUUAAGUAUUUUGCUCAUGGACUAUCAACUCUUUGGUUGAUUAAACUUGAAAGGGUGGCUUAAAAGCCAAGCUGGAUGGUAUAAUAUUCACUGCUUGGCUGCUGAAAUAUUUGGACGUUUAUAUCCUUUCUCUUCCUUGGGAGCAACCCUUUAUUUUUUUUAGUUGUAGAUCUAUCACAUUCUAGUACUUUUUUAACUUAGUGUUGACAUCUAUUCAUUGCUGUCAA